CUCAGGGAGAUACUGCUGGAGACACUGCUUUUGAGGAAACCUCAGCCUGUACAAGUUGUAAUUGUGCAAACCCCAACACUGAAAAAGAGACUGAAGACAGAGGACUUUCAUCCAUACUUCAAUGGCAAGAAGAGGCUGCUGCCAAGAGCUACUGAUUUAAGUUGUGUCCAGGUGGUGCUUGUACAGGCAGACCGUCUAUGGGCGGAAGGACAUCAGCGCUGUGCAUCAGCUGAAACCUGGUCCCGACUGAGUCUGAACGCUCCUUGGUGACAACAACACCAGGCUCCAGAGCAUCGAAGCUGUAAAACAGGAAAAGAGACAAAAUAAUGAAGA